GAGCAAGCAGUGGCAACCUGCUUGGGUCCCCUUCCAUGCUGUGGAAGCUUUGUUCUUUCACUCUUCACAAUAAAACUUGCUGCUGCUCACUCUUUGGGUCCACACUAUCUUUAAGAGCUGUAACACUCACUGUGAAGGUCUGCAGCUUCACUCCUGAAGCCAGAGAGACCACAAACCCACUGGGAGGAACAAACAACUCCAGACGCACCACCUUUAAGAGCUGUAACACUCACUGUGAAGGUCUGCAACUUCACUCCUGAAGUCAAGUGAGACCAUGAAUCCACUGGAAGGAAGAAACCCUGGACACAUCUGAACAUCUGAAGGAACAAACUCUGGACACACCACGUUUAAGAACUGUAACACACAACACGAGGGUCUGUGGCUUCAUUCUUGAAGUCAGCGAGUCCAAGGACCCACCAGAAGGAACCAAUUCUGCACACAUUUUGGCAACCACGAAGGGACUAUCACCUAUCACCAAGUGAAUCGAGGCCAUCAACUACAGAUGGUCUUACAAAUGGAACCCCAAAUGAGCUCAACUAACAACUUCUACCAAGGACCCCUGGACUGACCUGCUGGCCCUUUCCCUGACCUAGAGAGCUCCCCUCUGGAGGAUACUACAACUGCAGGGCCCCUUCUUCACCCCUAUCCAGCAGGAAGUAGCUACAGCAGUCAUUGCCCAAUUCCCAACAGCAGUUGGGGUGUCCUGUUUAGAGAGGGGAUUGAGAGGUGAAGCCGGCUGGGCUUCUGGGUCGGGAGGGGACUUGGAGAACUUUUCUGUCUAGCUAAAGUAUUGUAAACACACCAAUCAGCACUCUGUGUCUAGCUAAAUGUUUGUAAAUGCACCAAUCAGCACUCUGUAAAAACGCACCAAUCAGCACUCUGUGUUUAGCUAAAGGUUUGUAAACGCACCAAUCAGCACUCUGUAAAAAUGAACCAAUCAGCAUUUUGUAAAAUGGACCAAUCAGUGCUCUGUAAAAUGGACCAGUCAGCAGGCCAUGGGUGAAGCCAAAUAAGGGAAUAAAAGCUGACCACCUGAGCCAGCAGCAGCAACCUGCUUGGGUCCCCUUCCACGCUGUGGAAACUUUGUUCUUUUGCUCUUCACAAUAAAUCUUGCUGCUGCUCACUUUUUGGUCCGCACUACCUUUAUGAGCUGUAACACUCACCACAAGGUUCUGUGGCUUCACUCCUGAAGUCAGGGAGACCACGAACCCACCAGGAGGAACAAACAACUCCAGAUGUGCCACCUUUAAGAGCUGUAACAUUCACUGCGAAGGUCUGUGGCUUCACUCCUGAAGUCAGCAAGACCACGAACCCACCAGAAGGAAG
rnacentral:lncRNA from 1 species